rnacentral:lncRNA from 1 species
AGAAGGCUCGCUCAUCAAGGCACUGUUUCGAGGAGUUUCAAAAUUAAUUUUUCCAAAGAAAAUAUCGAGAAACUGAAACGUUCCAUUACCUUCGAUUAGAAGUGGAUACAUAUAUGAUUUUGGCCUAAAAAAAAAUUUGCAAAAAGGGAGAAUGCAAACUUGUCCUUUUCCUUUUGGAUUUACGGAGUGCCAGUAUCAGCAGAGUCUAUUGAGGAGGAAUCUCUGAAAAUGACAGCUGAUGGGUGUAGAGACCCACGCCCGGAAUCUCAGCAACUGAAGUGGUUGAAGCAGGAGCAUCUGGGCAGAGCUUGAACCAGGAAGCUGAGCGGCACCAUAGGUGUUGCUAACCAAGCAUAGCAGCAUAAUAAAAAUGGAGUGAUUAAAUGUA